CGGCCCACCCAGUCCGCGAGAACCGGGCAGAUCGCCUCGACGGUACGGAGGCCGGCCGACGGGUCCGCCAAACGACGAGACCACGCCUCCAGCACGGACUGCCGAUAUUGGAGCCCCCGCGCUCCGGCUGCACUUGCGCUAGGGCGCGCCGCCUCGUAGGAGACUGUGAGGUGCUGUGGCAGGUCCAACCAGAGACGUCAACGUGUGUUCCAGAGCUUCAGUGUGUUACAGAUAAGUGGUUUUGGCUUCCCCUUUAUGUUCCAUUCAGGGUCAGAAUGUAGUCUUAUAAAACAAAGUCAUAGUAAUUUAUUCAAUGGUAAGCGGUUUCAUGAACAAGUCACUCUUUGAUCUGAAAGUAACUUAGACCAAUCAUGAUGGCAAGAGCACUUAGGGGAUAUUCAACUCGCCCUUAAUAGUGCACGUUGUCGAGUAACAGGGUUUACUCCAAUAGAAUAGACGUUUGCCGUUCAGGGUAGUUCACUUGAAAUAUCUAAAGUUUCAACAGAGUGAUAAUCCCUCUAGAUUAGAUCUUGAUUUAGCACGGUCGAAGACCGGCGAAAACAUAAAAAAAGGGCACAAACAGAAGCUUGGUUUAGUCGAGGCAAAGCUAAAGUCAAACUCUUUUCCGCUGGGGAUUUUGUUUUCGUAAGUUGACCGAAAAUGUAAAGGUCCCUUCAACAUUACUGCAGUUUUGGAAAACGAUAGGUAUAAAUUGAGACAUGUAAAUAGUUCUAAUAGAGUGUACAAAUUUCCCCAUGAAAACUUACGUGAAAUACCUCGAGGCCCGUCAGGCCUACUAGAAAUUUCUGAAAAUUAUAGUGACGAUGACGUGACGGCGUACACAGAUGGGUUAAUUAAUCUUGUUCAUGAAACUGAUCUUAAUGAUGACGACUCUAUCACUGACAAUAGAAGCGACAUUUUUGUCCGCAAAUAGCGAUACAGCAAACAUAGUCUGUGGGUAGUGAUACAAUGUCUGUAAGCUCAGGCACCUCAGGUGCAGGUGUUGGAAAUGUAGAAAACGAUGGUCGGUCUCGCACUAUUUCUGAAGAAAUUCCGUAUAAAUGUUCUGGUUUAA